CAGCAGCUUGUGCUCCACCUCAGCUACAGGAGGGGAAAGGUGUGCCUGAUUGCUAAGAUCAGGACUAUCUGGAGAAGUGAGAGCAGAGAGGAGGGGAGAGGAGAAGAAGCAGGGGAAAAAAAAAGGCUUUAAGUGAGAAAACUGAUCUUAUAGCAUGUGGCCAGUAUGGGUCAUACAGGCUUCAGGAGGCAGUAGGAGCACACAGAAGAAGAGGCUCUGGCUGGGCAGCAGCGCAGAGGAGAAGAGGUGUUGUAGGAUGGGGGAUUCCCAGCCACCAGCAGGCAGGAGGGGUCUGCAGGCACGGAAGACACGACUGAUGGUCAGCUACCCUGCAGCAAACUCAGCCUGGAGCCCAGGUUCUGAUGCUGUUGGCCCUCUUGCAAUAGGACUGCUUCGUUGGAGAAAUCCACAUGUGUAUGGGAACCCCCACCUCCCUCCCACCUUCUCUGAAGAUGCCUGUGUUCAAGUAUUUCAAUAUUUUGCUGCACAAAAUGACUUCUCACAUCCUUUAUCCUGCCCAGCUUCACUUUCUAUCACUCCAGUGCCUUCUUACAGUAGUAGCAGUCAAGAAACUUUGAGUCAAGACUCUACAGGUAUAAGUUUGUCUAUUCAUGGGGCUGACAAGAGUGUGCAAAUCUAUCAGAGGAGAACUGCAGCAAGCUACCCAGUGUCACAGCGUCCGCCUGUGGUUGGGCAUCCUUCACUCCCACAAGUCAGAGGGUCAAUAAAAAUGGAAGCCUCAUCUUCUGGAUCUAGUAUUUUGGGAGUCACUGGUGGAAAAGCAAAAACGGAUCAGCCAGAAGGAAGAGAGGAUUUGCAGGUUAACCAGCUGGAAACUCAAAUAUGGAUAACACCAGACAUACAGAAGACAGAUGUGGACUUUUCAGAAAUUCUUAAUGCAAUACAAGAAAUAGCUAAGGAUGUCAACAUUUUUUUUGAUGAGUUAGAAAGUGUGAACAGCCCUUCCAAAGAUGAUGACUCCCUGCUUCACCACGGUAACUUGACCAGUACCUCUGACGAUGCCAGCAGGUUGGAAGUUGUGGGAGAGGAAGUACCUGAUAAGAACAAAACCAAUGGACUAUACUUUAGAGAUGGGAAAUGUCGGAUUGACUACAUCCUGGUGUAUAGAAAAUCCAAUCCACAGGCAGAAAAGAGAGAAAUAUUUGAGAGAAAUAUCAGAGCAGAAGGACUACAAAUGGAAAAAGAGUCAUCUCUAAUAAACAGUGACAUCAUCUUUGUGAAGUUGCAUGCCCCUUGGGAGGUCCUGGGCAAAUAUGCUGAACUAAUGAAUGUAAGAAUGCCUUUCAGGCCCUUUAACCCCUUCAGUGCUGGAGCCCCCUGCAUACUUGUGCGUUGCUGUUUUUUAAAUGGACAUUUCAUUGAAAUCAAUGGGAGGUCAAGAAGAUCCAGGAGAAAAAUCUAUUACCUGCACCGUCGAUACAAGUUCAUGAAUAGGAUCGAGAAACAAAUAAGCAGGUUUCGAGGAUGGUUACCUAGAAAGCCAAUGAAACUGGACAAGGAGACACUGCCCGAUCUGGAGGAGAAUGACUGCUAUACUGCUCCAUUCAGUCAACAAAGGAUCCAUCACUUCAUCAUACACAACAAAGAAACUUUCUUCAAUAAUGCUACAAGAAGUAGAAUUGUACACCAUAUCUUACAAAGAGUGAAAUAUGAAGAAGGAAAAAAUAAAAUUGGUCUGAAUCGAUUGCUCAGUAAUGGCUCCUAUGAAGCUGCAUUUCCUCUUCAUGAGGGAAGUUACAGAAGUAAGAAUUCAAUAAGAACCCAUGGGGCAGAAAACCACAGACACCUGCUCUAUGAGUGCUGGGCUUCCUGGGGAGUGUGGUAUAAAUACCAACCACUGGAUCUCGUGAGACGGUACUUUGGUGAGAAAAUUGGGUUGUACUUUGCCUGGUUAGGCUGGUACACGGGGAUGCUCUUCCCAGCUGCCUUCAUUGGAUUAUUUGUCUUUUUGUAUGGAGUCACCACUUUGAACCACUGCCAAGUCAGUAAAGAAGUCUGCCAAGCUACAGAUAUCAUAAUGUGUCCUAUAUGUGAUAAAUACUGUCCCUUCAUGAGGUUGUCAGACAGCUGCGUUUAUGCCAAGGUAACCCACCUUUUUGACAAUGGAGCUACUGUCUUUUUUGCUGUUUUCAUGGCCGUGUGGGCAACUGUUUUUUUGGAAUUUUGGAAAAGAAGGCGAGCAGUAAUUGCUUAUGACUGGGACUUGAUAGACUGGGAAGAAGAAGAGGAGGAAAUACGUCCACAGUUUGAAGCCAAGUACUCCAAGAAAGAACGAAUGAACCCCAUAUCCGGGAAGCCAGAGCCUUAUCAAGCAUUUGCAGAUAAAUGCAGCAGACUCAUUGUUUCUGCAUCUGGAAUAUUUUUUAUGAUCUGUGUGGUGAUUGCUGCUGUUUUUGGCAUUGUUAUUUACCGUGUUGUGACUGUCAGCACUUUUGCUGCCUUUAAGUGGGCUUUAAUCAGAAAUAACUCUCAGGUUGCAACUACAGGGACUGCAGUGUGCAUCAACUUUUGCAUCAUCAUGCUACUAAAUGUGCUGUAUGAAAAGGUUGCUCUUUUCCUGACAAAUUUAGAGCAGCCUCGUACUGAAUCCGAGUGGGAGAACAGCUUCACUCUGAAAAUGUUUCUUUUUCAGUUUGUCAAUCUGAACAGCUCUACCUUUUAUAUAGCAUUCUUUCUUGGAAGAUUUACAGGACACCCUGGUGCCUACUUAAGGCUGAUAAACCGGUGGAGACUGGAAGAGUGCCACCCUAGUGGAUGCCUUAUUGAUCUUUGUAUGCAGAUGGGUAUUAUAAUGGUGUUAAAGCAGACCUGGAAUAAUUUCAUGGAACUGGGCUACCCACUAAUUCAAAACUGGUGGACCAGGAGAAAACUACGACAAGAGUACGGCACACAGAGAAAAACAAGCUUCCCACAGUGGGAAAAGGACUACAAUCUGCAACCUAUGAAUGCUUAUGGACUCUUUGAUGAAUACCUAGAAAUGAUUCUUCAGUUUGGGUUCACAACCAUUUUUGUGGCAGCUUUUCCACUGGCACCACUCCUGGCCUUACUUAACAAUAUUAUUGAAAUUAGGCUUGAUGCAUACAAAUUUGUUACCCAGUGGAGAAGACCUUUAGCUUCAAGAGCCAAAGACAUAGGAAUCUGGUACGGGAUCCUGGAAGGCAUUGGAAUUCUUUCUGUUAUCACAAAUGCAUUCGUCAUAGCUGUGACAUCAGAUUUCAUCCCUCGCCUUGUUUAUGCUUACAAGUAUGGACCUUGUGCUGGCCAAGGAGAAGCUGGACAAAAGUGUAUGGUUGGGUAUGUUAAUGCCAGUUUAUCAGUAUUUCUGGUGUCUGACUUUGAGAACCGUUCGGAGCCAACAUCAAAUGGAAGCGAAUUCUCUGGUACGCCAUUAAAAUAUUGCAGAUACAGGGACUACAGAGACCCUCCUCACUCCCCAGUGCCCUAUGGUUACACGCUGCAGUUCUGGCACGUCUUAGCAGCACGGUUGGCUUUCAUUAUUGUAUUUGAGCACCUUGUCUUUUGCAUAAAGCACCUGAUUUCCUACUUAAUCCCAGAUCUCCCAAAAGAUCUGAGAGAUAGGAUGAGGAGAGAAAAGUACCUGAUUCAGGAAAUGAUGUAUGAAGCUGAAUUAGAACGUCUGCAGAAAGAGCGGAAGGAAAGGAAGAAGAAUGGAAAAUCUUAUCACAAUGAGUGGCCGUGAUGGGGUGAGGAAGAAACCACUUAAAAGGAGAUAGGAAUUCUGCUUAUAAAAGCUGUUUUCUACAGUGGAGAGUACAGUGAAAGGAAUAGUCAGUGAAUGCUGUGUGCUCUUACAAGUGCGCCAAUGUUUAAAAGGGCAAAUACUGUCAUAAACCUUUUGAAAUUAGAGGUCUUGCAAGGCUUAGUCUUCUCCAGACCUAAUGCCAGCCUGAGCAGAUUUGACCAAUGCUUAACUGUCUGCACUCUUGCCAGGAGGCUCCCAGGCCCUGACUUAAAUUCAAGGCCCUGACCUUCAAAGCAAUUAUAUCUCUUACAGUGCUUUACAGAACUUGGUGAUUUUGCAGCCUGUUCUCAUGGCCAAGUUGCUACUUCAUAACCAGUGACUGCACCUUGGGCAACAUGGCAGUACUUGUCCAUGUGUGUGGUCACCACCUGCAGCACAUGCAUGGCAGUGUUGCCCUCUUCCACAGUGGACUCAGCUGUGUUAGCUUGCAUUUACAAGGUGGCCAUCCUAUAUGUUGUUUACUUAUUCCAGCUCCACAAGAGCACUACCUUCAAGGGAAUGCGAAAAAAUGCAACCUCAAUGCAUGCCACAGGCAUUUUACAUAGCAAGCAGGACAGCACACAUCAAAGGAUUUACUGUGAAAUCAUCUUGCAAUCAGCAUAGGAUUGAUCUCCAUAGACCACUCUUGAGAGCAAGCAUGUACUUCAUGAGCAGUUACAUGCCAGUUUUUAAAACCAAGGAACAAAAUUGUAUAUUGGGACUGUUUUUCAGCCUGUUUACUACGUUUUUUGCAUUCUGUCCCAUGCUGGUUUUACAGAUCUUAGUGUAAAAAAUGCAAAUGAACAACCUGGAUACUCUGACAGAAGAAAAAUCCUAGGUAUAGAAUAUCAUCUGUGUUCCAGCCACCAAAUACUACAAAAGAAACCGUGUUUACAAAUCAGUUCUUUUUUAUUUUAAAUCUUUCUGAGGGGAGUUAUGUUACUUACCAUAUAUAUAAUAUAUAUAAAGUAUAUAGAGAGAUUGUUUAUUUGUAAAUAGAAAAAUCCUAUGGAAAAGAAUGUCAAGUUUUCACACUUAAAAAAAAAAAAUCAUCAGCAUAAAGCCAUGUUUAAUGCUUGUAUAAUGUGACGCAAUAAACUUUAAAAUAAAUUAUGCAUAUGAAAUA